UACGUAGGGUGCAAGCGUUAAUCGGAAUUACUGGGCGUAGAGCGUGCGCAGGCGGUUGUGCAAGACCGAUGUGAAAUCCCCGGGCUUAACCUGGGAAUGGCAUUGGUGACUGCACGGCUAGAGUGUGUCAGAGGGUGGUAGAAUUCCACGUGUAGCAGUGAAAUGCGUAGAGAUGUGGAGGAAUACCGAUGGCGAAGGCAGCCCCCUGGGAUAACACUGACGCUCAUGCACGAAAGCGUGGGGAGCAAACAGG
rnacentral:rRNA from 1 species